GACGGCGCUGGGAAGGUGGCCGGCAUGAUCGGGUGGCUGCCGGAGAAGGCCGUCACGUUCGUGGACAACCACGACACCGGGUCGACGCAGGGGCUGUGGCCGUUCCCGGCCGACAAGGUCAUGCAGGGCUACGCCUACAUCCUCACACACCCAGGGCUCCCCUGCUUCAUUUGGUUUCUUUACACCUACAAGGUGUUUGAUGAAAUUUCAAGGAGGCUAGGGAGGAUUGAUCUAUGUAGGCCAUGUGAUUUGGUUUCUCUACGCCUGCAAGGUCUUCAAAAGUAUUAGUUACAGUCAACCAUGAUGUGAUGUGACUGCUAUUGGGAAUUAGUUUUGUCUAUAGCAAGGAUAACAUAAUAUAAGCUUGAAGUUAGUUAUGUCAUACAGAUGUAUAUUGCUUACUCCACCUCUUCUAACAUGAUUGAUGUGUUUUUGUUGAAGGCCUUUGCGCUGCAAUUGAAGCUUGAGCCAUACAGUGGAGCAUUUGGAAUGCCUAUGUGGGUUCCUUUGAUUGCCACCAGCCCCUUACCGUGCUUGAAGGAGACUCUCGGAGGUGUUUCACUUCUUGCAUUGUGUCAGGAAGGAACAAUAUGUGAUGCUGAUCUUGUGAUUAGUGUUGCUGGUGAUGUCAUACUUGCAUGGGCUAACCAUUUGUUCGAUAACUUGAUUCCCAUUGUAAGGUGUUAAGUCGGAUCGUAUUUGUUCUUAUGAGGGUGUGGUGCGGUUUUCAGAGUUCCAAUCCUGAGGAUUUCGUACCAGUAAUAUUGCAGUGUGGUCCAGAGCAAAGGUUGAAUGGAGUGCUGAGGACUUUUGGAGGGUGGCCAGUAGGAUGAGUUGGAUCUGUUCUUCGUAGCAAAGGUGAUGCCGUUGCAGAUAGGUACCUGAAGCGAAGCAUGCAAUAGCUCGUUUAUCCCUGUUUACCUUGGCACCGAAUUGAUGGACCUCUAUAUACGCAUGGAAAUAAAUAAGUGUGUAUUCUACGGCUAAUAUUUGUGUUGUAUGCAUAUCAAAUUGGCCUGGGAUGGAAAUGCGAGGUUGAACUCUCUCAUUAUCUACCACGCCUUUCUAAACUUGUUUUGCUGCUAGCUUGAGAGUAUAACAGUGGAUAAUCACCAUUAGCACAAUGGGACAAGAACUCAUGAUGAAGCCGACAUAAUUCGGUAGGAUAAUCACCAUUUGAAAAAAAGGGUGCAGGCAUAAGAAGAAUCAGAUUAGCAACAAUACAUUAGUUAGGCCAUUUGCAGCAUGUUAUACUCUGUGCAGUUCUUCUAUGUGCAGAUUACUGCCUCAUAUUGCUUCAAACUUCUGCAUGGGUACCUAGAUGUUUAUUUCCUUUGCUCCAACUGGAUUUUAUCAUAUUAAAGUACUACAUAAUUCGCUGCAGGGUUUUGUUGACGGAGCUCACUGAAAAUAUUUGUUCUCACCUGCAGCAAUGCCUAUCAGAUAUUUUUCAAAAGAAAAAGCACUUGCCUUUCAGUUAAACUAGGAAUCAUUUAAUAAUUGGAGGCUUUUAUCUACAUAUGUCGACGUAAGGGGUUAGAAGAAGCAGGUAAUGGAUUUUACUGUGUAUUAUGAUGCCCCCUCUAUUUAGUGGUAGAUAUAAUGUACUUAAACAGAGUGAAGUGUGUAAUGUUUCUUUCCAUGUCCGGUUUUUGCUUUAGGAUGUUUAAUGCACAUGGGGCUCAGCCACUUAUUGCAUGUAGUACUUUGCCAGGGAAAGGAUAGUGUGACAGUUAGUAUUGCUUUCUAGCUAUUGUAUUGGUAUCUUUCUUUUUAAAUUUCAGAGUGACAACCAUUGUUUUAUUUAUGGCCAUAAAUAAAUUAUUUGAUUAGUAAUAGCUGUUGUGCAGCAUUUUUGCGUGGUUAUGUCUGUAAUGCACUAAUGUUUUUUUUGUUUGGUUGUCUUGAUUUAUCCGGAUUGGGGAUUUCGAGCAAUUAGGACAUCUUGGACACUGAAUGACUUUAUAUCGUGUUCAUCUCCUGUCACCAUCCUUUCUUGCUUGAUGUUCCAUUUUGAGUGCAUGCCAUAUGUCCGAUAAAAUGCCUGGGAGAAGCACCACUAGCAUGGUUCCUAAUGCAUGAGUGUCCAAGACUAUGUUCCUAACUUUGGCUCUUUGUCAGCUUCACAUAUCGGCUUUACAAUCAGGCUAUUAACUGCUUACUUCUCUUCGGUGUCUAAACUUCUACUAAACAGCAAUGAUAAUUGAGUAGCAAACUAAAUGAAAGUCUUCAGUAUGCUCGAGACAACACCAAAUUGCCAAUAUAUUAUUUCCAGAUUUUUAUUAAUUCUUGCCGAUUUUGUUGGGCUAGCUGUUCAAUAUGGCUGUAUUAUAAUAUUUCAGAGACUUUCAUUGAGCUCCUCAAAUCACUAGCUGAUGAGGAAAGCAGGGGUACAUGGAUGCUAGGAUGGAGGUAACAGAGAAUUGUUCUCAGUUUUGGAAGGUGUAGAGGCGAGAAGCAGAGGCCACCCAGAGCGCUGCCAUGGCGCCUGCUAUCUUGUUUCUAGAGAAUGAGAUGGCCAUCAGUUCGAUAGACUAGAAUCACAAAACAUGGCAUGCUGAACUAAGUGUCUCAGGCAGUACAUGUAGAGCAGUUUCAGUUUUGUGUGUUCCCAAUGUUCCAGAAGGCAACACAUUUAUUUUGGAUAGUAGUGGAAUGGUCCAAAUGGAGAUCAUCAAGUGACUUGGAAGUACUCAGCCUGAAAAUAUGACAGGGAUGUGCCCUCUUCUCCAUAUCUGCAUGAUGGCUCAAAGCACGCCACCAUGACCAGAUUGUUUCUCCACAACAGCAAGCUAGACAUAUAAUGCUUUAGCCCCGUUGUCUCUGGUUUUAAUUUUCUUGGUAUGGUUGGCUCUGGUUUUAAGCUCUCCAAAGUUUCAUGAGAUGAUGCGCAAUGAAAAAAAACUUUUGCAGUAUCUGCAGCACUUAGAAUCAUGCUAUUAUGGCGCUUCACCUCCGCUUCCCUCUAUAUGUUUGUAUCCAUUUUUGCGAGCAUGACCGCUUACUCUGAUUUACGAAUGGGCAUGGAUGCAUGGGAAGCUGCUUUCAGUCAGUAGAAAACUUGUGUUACUCAAGGAUGGGGAUAGAAUUGAAGUGAUGUUUUCUUCACAUAUUACACGAGAUAAUUUACAAGUUGACUACUACCUCCUGAGUUUGUACAUAAUGAGAGUGUGUGGUAUUAACUUGUGAUGUAAGUAUGAGUUUUGAUGCAAUAAAUUCAAGUUUGGAUCAAA